AACGAACGCUGGCGGCAGGCUUAACACAUGCAAGUCGAGCGCCCCGCAAGGGGCGCGGCAGACGGGUGAGUAACGCGUGGGAACGUACCUUUUGGUUCGGAACAACUCCGGGAAACUGGAGCUAAUACCGGAUAAGCCCUAACGGGGAAAGAUUUAUCGCCGAACGAUCGGCCCGCGUCUGAUUAGCUAGUUGGUGAGGUAACGGCUCACCACGGCGACGAUCAGUAGCUGGUCUGAGAGGAUGAUCAGCCACACUGGGACUGAGACACGGCCCAGACUCCUACGGGAGGCAGCAGUGGGGAAUAUUGGACAAUGGGCGCAAGCCUGAUCCAGCCAUGCCGCGUGAGUGAUGAAGGCCUUAGGGUUGUAAAGCUCUUUUGUCCGGGAAGAUAAUGACUGUACCGGAAGAAUAAGCCCCGGCUAACUUCGUG
rnacentral:rRNA from 1 species